GACGUAGGGCGCGAGCGUUGUCCGGAUUUAUUGGGCGUAAAGAGCUCGUAGGCGGCUUGUCGCGUCGACUGUGAAAACCCGCGGCUCAACUGCGGGCCUGCAGCCGAUACGGGCAGGCUAGAGUUCGGUAGGGGAGACUGGAAUUCCUGGUGUAGCGGUGGAAUGCGUAGAGAUCCGGAGGAACACCAGCGGCGAAGGCGGCAUCCUGGACUGGUCCUGACACUCAUGAGCGAAAGCGUGGGGAGCGAACAGG
rnacentral:rRNA from 1 species